rnacentral:rRNA from 1 species
AACAUACCACUUGUUGCCUCGGCGGAUCAGCCCGCUCCCGGUAAAACGGGACGGCCCGCCAGAGGACCCCUAAACUCUGUUUCUAUAUGUAACUUCUGAGUAAAACCAUAAAUAAAUCAAAACUUUCAACAACGGAUCUCUUGGUUCUGGCAUCGAUGAAGAACGCAGCAAAAUGCGAUAAGUAAUGUGAAUUGCAGAAUUCAGUGAAUCAUCGAAUCUUUGAACGCACAUUGCGCCCGCCAGUAUUCUGGCGGGCAUGCCUGUUCGAGCGUCAUUUCAACCCUCAAGCACAGCUUGGUGUUGGGACUCGCGUUAAUUCGCGUUCCCCAAAUUGAUUGGCGGUCACGUCGAGCUUCCAUAGCGUAGUAGUAAAACCCUCGUUACUGGUAAUCGUCGCGGCCACGCCGUUAAACCCCAACUUCUGAAUGUUGACCUCGGAUCAGGUAGGAAUACCCGCUGAACUUAAGCAUAUCAA